rnacentral:rRNA from 1 species
CACGUAGGGGGCGAGCGUUGUCCGGAUUUAUUGGGCGUAAAGAGCUCGUAGGCGGCUCAGUAAGUCAGGUGUGAAAACUCCAGGCUCAACCUGGAGACGCCACCUGAUACUGCUGUGGCUAGAGUCCGGUAGGGGAGCAUGGAAUUCCUGGUGUAGCGGUGAAAUGCGCAGAUAUCAGGAGGAACACCAGUGGCGAAGGCGGCUCACUGGCUCGGUACUGACGCUGAGGUGCGAAAGCGUGGGGAGCAAACAGG